rnacentral:misc_RNA from 1 species
CGGUUCCUCACAGCCGACAGGGUGCACCUCCAACCUGUCAUGUGCACUGGACUCCCGCUUCUCUUUAUAUUUAGCUAACAUCUGAGAGUACCCACAACAGGAGUGGAGGCCGCGCGGUGGUUGGUGGGGCACCUUGACGAGUGCGGCGGCGGGUGUGCACCGGCACCCACAUACAGAUAUUCACAGAGAGAAUCAAAGCCCUCAAGGAUGAGCGAGGCGCAGCAGGCGGCUGAGAUUGCGCGAUUGAUGGCGUGCGAGGCGCGCAAGGCGAGCCCCUUCGAGUUUCUCCAGCUCGACAUCGCCACAUGCGAGCUGACCGAUGUGAACCGGCAAUAUCGCAAGAUUGCGCUGCUGCUGCAUCCAGACAAGUGCCAGCUCGCGAACGCCGCGGAUGCCUUUCACGUUGCGGAGAAGGUGCACAAGUCACUCAGCCAGGAGUCCAUAUUUUACCACCUGAAGCGGGCGUAUCGGAAGCAGCAGGAUCGACUAGCAGAGGAGGGAACCUCCGGCACGGGGGCAGGGAGUCGCACUAUCCCCGCCGCUGGCGCCGCGGCGGGGCAGAAGCGCGCACGUGAGGCGGAGACCGCGCUGCCGCCCAUCGCCUUCGGCUCCCUCACGCAACUAGCCGCCAGCGGUCUGUCCAGUGACGCGCAGAAGGCGGCUGAGAUUCGCCGGGUGCUGCAGUGCAAGGCUACCGACUACUUCAUCAUCCUCGACGUGGACCCCAGCAACUGUACCGUGGCCGACGUCGACCGGCGUUACCGCAAGAUGGCCCAGGCGUUGCAUCCCGACAAGUGCCAGCUGCCCCACGUGCAGGAUGCCUUCACCGUCUUCGAGACCGCGCACAAGGAGCUGGCAGACGAGAAGAAACUCGUACGCUUCAAAGUCGCCUUCGAACAGCAGCGAAAGAAAGAGGCGGCGUUGAAGGCGGCGGCCGCGCAGCGCGGCGUGAGCGGCAGCGGUGGUGACGCCGAUAGGUUUGGAUCCGAGGAAAGCAUGACAGCCGAGGAGCGCUUGCAAAAGCGGCGGAUGGAGGCGCUGCGAGAUCAGCAACUGGAGGCCGCGCGCCUGGGCGAGGAGGCGGCGCGGCGGCGUAAACUCAAGGAAGAAAAAGAGAAGGAAGAGACCGCGCUGGCGGCGGAGCUGGAGCGGCAGCGCAAGGAGUGGAACGACUUGCAGCUGUUUUAGACGCCGCCAGUGCCAACAAACCACACAGAUAUGCACACGCUGUGUGUGCGUGCGUGUCGGUGAGGGACUCACUUGAAGCGUGUGUGUGUGCGCGCAAGCGACCGAGGGGCAAAAGGGGGUGGGGGAGGCCAAACACCCGCAUUGCUGCUCUUCUCUUGUCGUCCCUUUUUUUUGCGUGCGCUGCGGCACUCCGUGAUGGCCGGCCGGGUACCCCCCUCCUCCGUGCGUGGUGUCAACAGGGUACCGUGCACCUCACCCCCCACUCUCUCUGUGUGUUUACGUGGUGGUGGUGGUAUGGGGAGCCGCCAAGCAGCCCCGCAUCCCCUGCCGAAUGCCGAACCGCUUCUGGUAGUGACAGGGCCAAGCACCUACGAUGUGGAGAGGUGAGCGCGGCUUACUGCCACUGAUGUCGGCGGCGGGGUCCUGGGUGGCGCUGCCUCGGAGCGACCUGCGGCUGUGAGUAGGUCUUUAUCACCCAUAUGGUGGGCAGGGCGUCCACGUGACCCGCGCGUAUCCGACCGGGCCCUCACACGGCGCACUGGUGUGUGUGGGUGUGGGGGCCGAGCCCCCCGAGGGGCGGGAACGCACCAGGCGAUGGGGCGUGUGGCCGGCCGGUGGGCAGAGCGGCGCCGGCCUCGUGCACCCUGGCGGAGAAUGAACACGCCGAAAAGCAAGUGUUUGUGCGUCUGCUCUUGCUGGCGGUAUCGUUCGCCGAUCCCAUACCCAGAUACGUGCACACGCAUGCAUGCUUUU